GGAGAGCGGCUGGCGAUCGUUAACUAGCGCGCACUCCCGGGAGAGAAUUCUGGUCUUAAAGACACGAACUCUGUCUUGGUGAAGCAGCGCGGACUGCGACAGCAGAAGGGACCCUCAGAGAGCUUGUCUCCUGCUUUCAAGUGGAGAGAGUGUUUCAAAGCUGGAACUCAAAACCAGGUGUGUCUGACUCCCCCGGCUGGUGCCUUCGUGACAGAACUCUGACUUUCAACUUCAUGAAGGAAAUGCAGCACACGUCUUGUUUCAGUUUCCAGAGUGGAGCUGACUUUAUUUGCCGCAGUAUCCAGGAAGAGAAGAUUUGGACACAGAUACACACAAAAGGAAGAGCAUGUGAAGACACACAGAGAAGGUGACCAUCUGCAUGCCCAGGAGAGAGGCCUCAGAAGAAACCGACCCUGCUGACACCUUGCUCUCAGACUCCAGCCUACAGAGCUAUGAGACAUAAAUUUCUGUUGUUUAAGCCACCCAGUCUGUGGUACGUGGUUAUGGCAGCCCUAGCAGACUAAUACAUAGUUUAAUCAUAGCUAACCCAUGAUUUUAAUCGUCACAAUGUUUGGGGACAUAUAAUUUCUAAAAUUACCAUGUAAAUUGAAUGUACUUUUUGUUUUCUUUCUUUUUUAAGAACAGCUUAAUGGAGGGAUAAUUAAUGUAUGGUAAACUGAACAUACAUUAAAUACACAAUUUAAUAAGUUUUGAUAUAUGUCUACAUUCAUGAAACCCUCAUCACAGUUACAAUAAUGAACACAUCUGUUAUCUUCAAAAGCUUCCUCCUGUCCUUUCCCCCAUUUUCCAGGCCACCGUUGAAUCUGCUUUCUGUCACUAUAGAUUAAUUCAUUAUUUCUAGAGUUUUAUAUAAGUGAAAUCAUACAGUGUGUUCUUCUUUCACCUUGCAUGAUUAUUUGGAGAUUUAUCCAUUUGGUGUGAAUCAAUAGUUCAUUCCUUUUUAUUGCUGAGUAGUAUUCCAUUGUGUGGAUGGAGCACGGGUUAUGCAUUCACUUAUGAAAGGACUCUGGAAAGCCUUGUUUAUGGUUUUUUGAGAUUAUGAAUAAGUUGCUGAAAGCACUCAUGCAUGAGUCAUCCUAUGGACAUAUGCUUUCCUUUCUUUAGGGGAAAAUACCUGGAAGUGGAAUGUCUGGAUCAUGUAGUAAGGUGUAUAUUUAACUUUUUAAGAAACUGCCAGCUAUGUAUCCCCUUAGGGGCUAGACUGUUAGCUCAGUUGGUUAGAGUGUGGUGCUGAUAACACCAAGAUUCAGGCCCCAAAUAGGCCAGCCACCAAAAAAAAAAAAAAAAAAAAGUACAGAUGGGAGAAUCAUAAGUGUGUUCCUCAAAAGUUCAUGGAUUGGAAACUCAAUCUCCAUUGUAAGUGUUAAGAGGGUGGGAAAUUCUAGUAUGGGAAUUGAAAAGUGGGGCCUUUAAGAGAUGGUUAGAUUGUGAGGACUGUAUCCUUGUGAAUGGAUUAAUCCAUUGAUGCUUUAAUGGGUGGUCAUGGGUGUGGUUCUGAUGGCUUUAUAAGGAGAGAAGUGAGCAGGUUAGCGCUCUCUUGCUCAGCCCAUUCUCACCAUGUGAUACCCUGGUCGCCAUGAGACUCUGUAGAGUUGCCACCAAGAAGAGGGCCCUCACCAGAUGUGUUCCAUGGACUUUGGAUUUACACAACCUCCAAAACUGUAAGAAAUAAAUUACAUUUCUUUAUAAAUUACCCAGUUGCAGGUAUUCUGUUAUAAACAACAGAAAUGGACUACUACACUGCCAAACGGUUUUCCAAAUAACUAUAUACCAUUUCACGUUGCCACCAGCAGUGUGUGGGAGCUCCAGCUCCUCUCGAUCCUUGCCAAUACUGGGUAGUUGGCCUUUUGGAAAUUAGCCAUUCAAAUAGGUGUGUGGUGGCACAUCAUUGUGAUGUUAAUUUGCAUUUCCCUAAUGAGGUUGUGCAUCAUUGCUAUCCAUGUAUCUUUUUUAAAUGAAGUGUCUGCUCGAAGCUUUUGCCUAUUGUUUUUAUUGAAUUAUUUAUUUUCUCAUUAUUGAGUUUUGAAAGUUUAUUAUGUAUUCUGGAUACAAGUCUUUUAUUGCAUACAUCCUUUGCAAAUAUUUUCUCCAGUCUGUGGCUUGUGUUUUCAUUCUCUUGAUAGUGACUUUCAAAGGACAGAAGAUUUUAAUUGCGGUGAAGUCCAAUUUAUCAAUCCUUUCUUUUACAGAUUGUGCUUUUGGUGUCGUAUCUAAGAAAUCUUUGCCUAACUCAAGGCCAUCAAGAUUUUCUCCUUUGUUUUCCUUAAAAAGCGUUAUAGUUUUAAGUUUUACGUUUAGGGCUGUGGUCCAUUCUGAGUGAAUUUUUGUAUAUGGUACAAGGUAUAAAUCAAAGUUUGUUUCGGUUUUUUUUGCAUGUGGAUGGUUAAUGGUUUCAGCACUAUUUUUUUGAAUAAACUAUUCUUUCUCUUGUGAUUGACUUUGCAUCUUUAUCAUAAAUCAGUUGUACACAUUUAUUUUUUAUUCUGUUCUGUUUAAAUUUUUGUUCGUCUUUAUGUCAGUACCACACUGUCUUGAUUACUGUAGCUUUAAGAUUAAGUCUUGAAAUUAGGAAGCAUCAGGUCUUCAACUUUGUCCUUCUGAAUGUGCUUUGUGGAUGCCAUAAUCAUUAGUGCCUUCAUUGCCACUCAGAGAUGCUUUUGGGUGGACGUAAUUCAUUUCCUCUGUUAAUCCUCACUGCGGCUCUUACAGAUUUGUGCCCUUCUGCUGAAGCCUCCAACCUGCCUCUGCUCCUCUCACUAUUAGUGUAGUGGAUUGAAUUGUGUCCCCCCAGUUUUCUGUAUUAGAAACUUAGCCCCCAUUGUGACUGUUAAAAGGGUAGGAAAUCCUAUUAUGGUAAUUGUAAGGGGGGGCCUUGAAGAGGUGAUCAGAUUGUAGGAUUGUGCAGUAAUGAAUGGAUUAAAAAUGGUGGUCAGGGGCGUAGUUCUGAGGGCUUUAAAAGAAGAGGAGAGUCUGUCUUUCUCUCUGCUCUCUCUGCUUCCACCAUCUUGCAAUGUGAGACCCCUGGGUCACUGUUGUCACCACCAGAUGGACUUUGGACAUCCCAGCCUCAGAAACUGUAAGCAAUAAAUUUCGUUUUUCUUUAUAAAUCACCCAGUCUCAGGUAUUCUGUUAUAGCAACACAAAAAGGACUAAUACAAUUAGGUCUGGACUUUGCAGCCUACUUGGCUCAAACGUUAAGGCCGUCAGCUGA